rnacentral:rRNA from 1 species
GACGAACGCUGGCGGCGUGCUUAACACAUGCAAGUCGAGCGAUGAAAUUCCUUCGGGAAUGGAUUAGCGGCGGACGGGUGAGUAACACGUGGGUAACCUGCCUCAUAGAGGGGAAUAGCCUUCCGAAAGGAAGAUUAAUACCGCAUAAGAUUGUAAUACCGCAUGGUAUAGCAAUUAAAGGAGUAAUCCGCUAUGAGAUGGACCCGCGUCGCAUUAGCUAGUUGGUGCGGUAACUGCUCACCAAGGCGACGAUGCGUAGCCGACCUGAGAGGGUGAUCGGCCACAUUGGGACUGAGACACGGCCCAGACUCCUACGGGAGGCAGCAGUGGGGAAUAUUGCACAAUGGGGGAAACCUUGAUGCAGCAACGCCGCGUGAGUGAUGACGGUCUUCGGAUUGUAAAACUCUGUCUUCAGGGACGAUAAUGACGGUACCUGAGGAGGAAGCCACGGCUAACUACGUGCCAGCAGCCGCCGUAA